GUACCAGGCUGCCUAGGAAGCCAGGUGGUGCCUUUAAGAUCUCCAUGGAGAAACGCACAGCUCGACGCAGGAUCCGACGAAGAACCAGCCUAAAGGGGUUCAGAGCCCAGACAUGAAUCCCCAGCGGCUCAUGCCCUUCCAGACUCACGGGGGACCUGACAUCCCAGGGAAGAUGCCAUCAGAGAUGCAGACACUGAGUGUGCGGAUGUGGUCAGCCACCACGCGGUACGCUGUGUCUGUGCGCCCCUCGUCUGCCACCCCUACUCGGCCCAAGUAAGGGGGUGCCCUGCAGCCCUGGGAAGCAGAAGAGUCAGCCAGUGGCCCUGCCUGACCUGGCCCAGCCCAUUCCAGGAGGUAUUAGCAUGCUUGCUUUAAAGAAGAAGAAGCUGAGGCUCAGAGGAACUCAGUGACACAAGGCUACCCAGCUCUCAAGGAGCAGAUCUGAGAUCUCAGCCGGGCCUGUUGGACUCCAGGUGCUCUCCACUACCUGUUCUUGCCUCUCCCAUCUUUUGUGGGGGUGGGCAGGGAGGGAGAGUGUAAGCUACAUACACGGAAAUGCUCCAAAGCAGGGAGCUUGAUUCACUUACCACCAAACCUCUCUCUUCCCCAAGCUUCUUCGUCUAACAGUCAUGCCAUUCACUGUGUUGCUCAAGUCAAUAGCCUGGGAGCCAUCUUUGAAUUCUUUUUCCCCUACCCGUCAUGAUCCAUCAGUGGUUCCUUUUGCUCCUACCUCCAUGACAUCUCUCAAAUCAAUCUACUUGUCUCUACUUCCACUGCUAUUAUCCGAAGCAUGCCCUGUGGUCCUUGCCUGGACCGAUAAUAGCCUCCCAACUGAUUCCUAAGUUUCUGCUCUCAUCUCCCUCCAGCUCAUCCUCCACACAGCAACAGGAGUAGCCUUUUAAAAGUGUACAUCAGGCUGGGCGCGGUGGCUCACACCUGUAAUCUCAACACUUUGGGAGGCUGAGGCGGGUGGAUCACCUGAGG
rnacentral:lncRNA from 1 species